AUUGAAUUUAUUUACAGUUAACUAUUUUAUUUGAAAUUUGAGAAGUUUAAGCUAGAAGUGGGCGAUAUAAUAACUACUGAUCAGAGCUAGAACACACAUGUUGAAUUGAUUGAAGCUACGACACUACAUUAAAAUUACAUGCAAACAGAAAAGGGAGUUAAGAGCUGUAAAUCGUGAAAUAAAAGGAGAAAGUGAAAGUCAUUCGCAGGAGGGAAACGAAGAAACUAACUCUUUGAUCUGCUUUGAAGUGGCAGAUUUCACGGAUUUUUUCUUCAACUUCGACGGUUUCCGAACAAAAUCAAAGAGUUACGCAAACCUAACCUCAAAGCAUGGCUUUCCAGACUCCAGAAGAUGGUAACGAACGGCUGGCGACCUGUUUGAUGUGUGGUGGACCAGAGGAUGAUGAUUUCAACAUGGUGAGUUGCAAUGAAUGCAAGAUGUGGGCUCAUUUCAAAUGCGCCGAAGUAACG